AACGAACGCUGGCGGCAUGCCUAACACAUGCAAGUCGAACGAGACCUUCGGGUCUAGUGGCGCACGGGUGCGUAACGCGUGGGAACCUGCCCUUAGGUUCGGAAUAACUCCCCGAAAGGGGUGCUAAUACCGGAUAAUGUCUUCGGACCAAAGAUUUAUCGCCUUUGGAUGGGCCCGCGUUGGAUUAGCUAGUUGGUAGGGUAAAAGCCUACCAAGGCGACGAUCCAUAGCUGGUCUGAGAGGAUGAUCAGCCACACUGGGACUGAGACACGGCCCAGACUCCUACGGGAAGCAGCAGUGGGGAAUAUUGGACAAUGGGCGAAAGCCUGAUCCAGCAAUGCCGCGUGAGUGAUGAAGGCCUUAGGGUUGUAAAGCUCUUUUACCCGGGAUGAUAAUGACAGUACCGGGAGAAUAAGCUCGGGCUAACUCCGUG
rnacentral:rRNA from 1 species